rnacentral:rRNA from 1 species
UUUGGACAAUGGGGGCAACCCUGNNCCAGCCAUUCCGCGUGAGUGAAGAAGGCCUUCGGGUUGUAAAGCUCUUUCAGUUGGAACGAAACGGUACGCUCUAACAUAGCGUGCUAAUGACGGUACCGACAGAAGAAGCACCGGCUAACUACGUGCCAGCAGCCGCGGUAAUACGUAGGGUGCGAGCGUUAAUCGGAAUUACUGGGCGUAAAGCGUGCGCAGGCGGAUUGUUAAGCAAGAUGUGAAAUCCCCGGGCUUAACCUGGGAAUGGCAUUUUGAACUGGCAGUCUAGAGUGCGUCAGAGGGGGGUGGAAUUCCACGUGUAGCAGUGAAAUGCGUAGAGAUGUGGAGGAACACCGAUGGCGAAGGCAGCCCCCUGGGAUGACACUGACGCUCAUGUACGAAAGCGUGGGUAGCAAACAGGAUUAGAUACCCUGGUAGUCCACGCCCUAAACGAUGUCAACUGGUUGUUGGGGGAGUGAAAUCCCUUAGUAACGAAGCUAACGCGUGAAGUUGACCGCCUGGGGAGUACGGUCGCAAGAUUAAAACUCAAAAGAAUUGACGGA